GGGCCGGCUGCGGACGCGGGAAGGGAGGUGGUGGCGACUGACGGAACUGGGUGAAGGAUUCUUUCUUUGAUUUUAUAAGCUGACAUGAUUGCUUGUUCUGUUGUGAAUGCACGCUGCUCUGGGCCUCAGUUAACCCAUCACACCUGAGCUCCACGCUGUCCACGGGUGCUUUUUCUGCAGUGUUAACGUCAUCUUCAUGGUCGGUAUCAUCACGAUCACCUUGAUUCAGAACCAUUCUGGCUAUUUCCCCAACAGUCAAUGAAAUGAACAACCGGAGCCUCAUUAUCAAUGUUAAAAAUGACAUUAAUGUGUACUUCUUCCCGCUGACUGAUGAACUCUGAAGGUAUAUUUUUUGGAGGUCAGACAUCCUUUUCUUCUCACUUGACAAGCUGAAUUCUUCUAAACCACCACCUGGUUCAUCAUCAUCACUGAACACAGUCGUAGGCCAGAGGUCACGCCAGGCACGCACAUCUGUGUCUUUAGUCACUGUGUUGCAAGCGUUGGCAACAGCAUGUAUGGCAUCCUUCAUGCUCAGCUCCUGAAAAUCUUCUACACCUACACCUCCGUUCACUGCUGCGAGCGUGCAAUUCAAGACAGUGUUUUUAUAUUUACUUUUCAUUGAUCUAAAGAUACCCUGGUUACAGGCUCAACUAAUGAAGUCACGUUUGGGGGAAAGUACACAGCAUCAAUAUUAUCUUUGAUGAGAAUUUCAGCUGGAGGAUGAGCAGAACAGUAGUCAAGGCAUAAGAAAAUCUUGCUGUCAUCAUCCGGUCCAACUUUUCUGCAGCGAGCACAAGAGGCCUGUACGAAGUGUUUGUAAAACCGAUCAGAAAAGAUGUCCCUGGUGAUCUAUGCCUUUUUGUUAGCAUAAUAAUGGACUGCUUCUGCAGAUGGCCUCCCCUCUCUGCGACUGGUUCCUUAUCGAGGCAAUGGAGAUGUGGACUGCGGUGACUGAUCAAGCCUCACAUAUCUACUGAAUCAGGAAGCCCGAAGGCCUGAGGCCUCCCGAGUGGCCCCAUGGGAGCGUCGUGCAUUUUUCUGGGCCCGAUGACGAUGCUGGCCUGGCGGGGGACUUGGCUGACCCGGCCUCCGCACAGGUGGACUAGUUCACAGAGCUUGGCCACUGGGGGGCUGCUGGCAGGCGAGACAAACAUCGCUGGCUGGUCGGCAAAGAGGGUUCCGCGGUACGGCCCUGCAGACAAGUGGCACUCGCUUCGGCACAGCUGUGGGGCAGACAGAGAUAGAAUUACAGAGGUGGGACCACUCCAGUCUCCAUAGCGUAGGCGAACUGUUGCAGUUUACUUCCUUUUUUAUGAAAAGAAUAGACUGAAUGUAAGGCUGCCAUGCUCCUGUGAAUUUUGAAUUCUGAGAAUCCAGAGAAGAUGAUGACAUUAAUGACAUAAAACUGACGUUUUCUGAAGUAGCCAUGCGUAAAACUCCAAGGAAACAAAUUAGAAAAAAAAAAGUGUAGGCCUUUGAAUUAUUCCAAAGCCUCAAACAAAAUAUUGAAAAGCAACUGUUAGCACAGCAGAGCCAUAGCUAGGCUGAACUCUCACUAAAGUAACUUGGUGACGUGUGCAAGUGACGGCAAGAUUCUAAUGCACUGCAAAUGCCGGCUGUGCUGGGAGAGCGUCAUUCAAUCCAGCGCGCUCCAGGCUGUUGGCAGAAAAGGACUUUUAUAGGAUGUAAGAAAUGCUGUAAAUCCAAUACCAUGGUCUGGACGGGGAAAGGGAGAGUGAGGCAAUGCAAAAGUAGAAUUCCUAGAGCCAUUCCCGAAACACGCUGGGUUUGGGGGAGAGAGGUGUCUCGAGAUUGUUUCAAUGAGCUGUUGGGAAACAUUUCAGAAGCAGGGAUGUGAAGCUGCUCUGCUUCUCAUUCUGGCAAUGUGUGGUCAUCUGUUUGACUCAGAGGACCGCGGGAAGGCCCAGUUAUUCUGAACACGCAUUUUCCUAACUACGGGUUGGUAAAGACUUCUUCAGUGUACACACCCUGCGAGAUGCUAUGGGUUAUGUGCCAUCCACGUUUUGUUUUGCGUAUUUUCCCUGCUUAUUUUUCCUACAAUAUCUGAAAUUAAUGGUUCACACAAAUUAGAGAUUUGAGGGGAUGUAUUUCGGGGAAGGGAUGAAGGGACCUUCUCAGAGGAGUAUAACCUGGGGUGGGGUGACGUCGGGGUCCUCUCAGUCAGGGGCAGCAGGCAAGGCUGACCUCGGAGGCAGGGGUAGGGUGCAGGUUGGGGGAAGAGCAGCAAAGAGUAAAUUCCACAGCCCACAUCACUCACAAAAUCAGAGAAACAGUGAACUAUUCUUCUGCUAGGUUUUCCUACUACUGUAAUAUUUAACAAAAGAGGAUCCUACUGUGAAAAUAUAGCUCCAGCAUCAAUGGAGUAGAUCCGAUACACUUAUAUAUGCUCAUGGAAUUUGCUUGUUCUCUCCCCUUGUGUUGAAUUUUAUAGCAUAAUAAAUACCGAGCCUCAGCAGCUUUCAUGUGCCUUGCAGGAGACAGUGGCAGCAGGGGCAAAUGAUUCUUCCUGGAUGGUGACUUUAACAAAGACUUCUUCUGGGGGGCACCGAUCUCCACCUGGCCAUGUCUUCAAGCCCAAGGAGAAGUCCCAGGAUGGGUCUGAGCUAAUCACGGUGAUCGCAAUACAAAUGACUGCGCUAAGCAUGGCACAGCUGGCCUCAAUCCUGGCCAAUGCAACGUGAGAAUCAAUUGCUGGUGGGAUUCUGGGGGAGUUUUUCUCACUGUUAUAAACAGAUGCAAAGCAGAAAUACUUCUCUUUGCUGGACACUGUCAUGUCUAAUGUGACGCCUGGAUCACUGAAGCCCCCAGAGGCCACGGGACACGCUGAAAAUGGCCCAGUGGGAAGGCGGAAAGCCUUGGGUCCUGAAAAACACUUCUAAGUCACUGACGGACCAAACUGAAAUCAUCCUUUAUUUUGUUCUUUUCAUGUCAGAAAAAAAGACCCCUAAAUUCUUUAAGUGACUUUUUUGUUAAGUUUUUGUUUCUAGAAGCCCAAAAUAUCCUAAUAAUAAUAAUUUUAAAUAAUCCACCUAUUUUUGGAAAUAGCUUGUUCAUCAUUGAGAUUAUGAAUAAUAGAUCAGUUCUCACCCCUGCCUUCCCCACCAUUUACCAGAGUUAACAACUGUGAAAAAUUCUCUGUGUAUUUUUAAAAAUCCUGUAAAAUGCACACACAACACACACACACAUUUAUGAUAAUGCUUGUUCUUAACCAAAAACUGAGAUCUAAUCUCUAUCUCACUAUAUGGAUAAGCAGUAAAUAAACCUU
ensembl:lncRNA MCPH1-AS1 MCPH1 antisense RNA 1